rnacentral:rRNA from 1 species
UACGAAGGGGGCUAGCGUUGCUCGGAAUUACUGGGCAUAAAGGGUGCGUAGGCGGUUUGUUAAGUCAGGGGUGAAAGUUUUCGGCCCAACCGGAAAAUUGCCUUUGAUACUGGCGAACUUGAGUGCGUGAGGGGUAACCGGAACGAGUGGUGUAGCGGUGAAAUGCGUAGAUAUCACUCGGAAGGCCAAAGGCGAAGGCAGGUUACUGGUACGCAACUGACGCUGAGGCACGAAAGCGUGGGGAGCAAACAGG